rnacentral:rRNA from 1 species
UUGACCUCAAAUCAGGUAGGACUACCCGCUGAACUUAAGCAUAUCAAUAAGCGGAGGAAAAGAAACUAACAAGGAUUCCCCUAGUAACUGCGAGUGGAGCGGGAAAAGCUCAAAUUUAAAAUCUGGCGGUCUUGCGGCCGUCCGAGUUGUAAUCUGGAGAAGCGUUUAUCCGCGUCGGACCGUGUACAAGUCUUCUGGAAGGGAGCGUCGUAGAGGGUGAGAAUCCCGUCUUUGACACGGACAACCGGUGCUUUUGUGAUGCGCUCUCGAGAGUCGAGUUGUUUGGGAAUGCAGCUCAAAUGGGUGGUAAAUUCCAUCUAAAGCUAAUAUGCGAGAGUCGAUAGCGAACAAGUACCGUGAGGAAAGAUGAAAGCACUUUGG